AAUGAAUUGCCUGAUAAAAGGAUUACUUUGAUAGAGUAAAUCAUGAAAUUUUAUAUUUCAUUCAUUA
rnacentral:tRNA from 1 species